rnacentral:lncRNA from 1 species
UUUUAGUUUAAUUUUUUUUUUUUAAUUCUAGUUGAAUUGUGUUGGCUUUGUUUAUCUGAAUCUGAUGAGUACAGAUUCUGAUACAAAGUCUGAGUGCAGUGGAAUACAGAACAGAGAGAGAACAAUUUAUACCGGUUACUUUCACAAUACAUGGUAUAAAGAGUUGGGUUUGUAGCAUAUGUAUAUGCUAAUAUUUUUAUAACAAAUUAAUUAAAAAGAAUAUAAAGGGUUAAAGUAUAGGGCUGAAUGAUUUAACUUCUACAUUUCCACUAUAAUGUUACACAAGUGG